rnacentral:rRNA from 1 species
UACGGAGGAGGCAAGCGUUAUCCGGAAUUAUUGGGCGUAAAGCGUCCGUAGGUGGCUCUUCAAGUCUGCCGUCAAAGACUGGGGCUUAACCCUGGAAAGGCGGUGGAAACUGAAGCGCUAGAGUGUGGUAGGGGUAGAGGGAAUUCCCGGUGUAGCGGUGAAAUGCGUAGAGAUCGGGAAGAACAUCGGUGGCGAAGGCGCUCUACUGGGCCACAACUGACACUCAGGGACGAAAGCUAGGGGAGCGAAUGGG